rnacentral:misc_RNA from 1 species
GAUGAAGAACGUAGCGAAAUGCGAUAAGUAAUGUGAAUUGCAGAAUUCAGUGAAUCAUCGAAUCUUUGAACGCACAUUGCGCCCUCUGGUAUUCCGGGGGGCAUGCCUGUUCGAGCGUCAUUAUAACCCUCAAGCUCAGCUUGGUGUUGGGCCCCGCCGCCCCGGCGGGCCCUAAAGUCAGUGGCGGUGCCGUCCGGCUCCGAGCGUAGUAAUUCUUCUCGCUCUGGAGGUCCGGUCGUGUGCUCGCCAGCAACCCCCAAUUUUUUUCAGGUUGACCUCGGAUCAGGUAGGGAUACCCGCUGAACUUAAGCAUAUCAAUAAGCGGAGGA